rnacentral:rRNA from 1 species
GUGCUAAGGUAGCAAAAUCAUUUGUUUUUUAAUUGAAAACUGGAAUAAACGGCUGAACAAAUAAUAAUUAUUUUUAAAAAUCAACUAUAAUUUAUAUUUUAAGUAAAAAUACGUAAAUAAAUAAAGGGGACGACAAGACCCUAAAAGCUUUAUGAUUAUUUAAUUAAGAAUUAUUAUUGCCAUCAUAAACUGUUAAAAAAUUUUUUAGCUGGGGUAGUUGUUUUUAUAACAAAUAUUUUAUGUAACAAAUGGGAAAAAGGGCCUUAAAAUUUGGAAAAUUAGUAAAAGUUACUUUAGGGAUAACAGCACAAUAUUAAUGAAGAGACCUUAUUUAUAUUAAUGGGUAUGACCUCGAUGUUGAAUUAAAUUUUAUCAUAGAGCAAAAAUUAUGAUUAAAAGUUUGUUCAACUUUUAAAUUUUUACAUGAUC